rnacentral:lncRNA from 10 species
UUUCUCUCUUCGCCUGCUGCCGUCCAUGUAAGAUGGGACUUGCUCCUCCUUGCCUUCCACCAUGAUUGUGAGGCUUCCUCAGCCACGUGGAACUAUGCCCUGACCUUCCGGGAAACCCUCGGUGAGAGGCCCACAGCCUCGCUUCUAGGGUCACCACUGCUUCUUCCAGUCUAGCCAAACAGCUCCUAGUACAGCUCAGAGCACCCUGCAAGGAGGGCACGUGUUAAAUCGAGGAGCACACAUGCUCCACGAGGAAUUCUUUGCUUUGAGGCCAUGCACAGAGGUGGGUUCACUAUGAAGCUUGUGAAAUAAGCUUCAGGGCCCGCAUUUGCAUGGGCCACAGAGAGUCUGGGAGCUGCAGAAGGUUCAAGGGAAGAGGAGCCAUCACAAGCAGAAUAUUCUAGAAGGCAUUUCUGGCAAAUGGCCCAAAGAGGCCUCAGGAGAAAAGAACUUGAGUCUUCAAGGUAACCUGCGACUUUUUUGUCUCAUUUUAAAUAUCAACUUUCAUGCCUAAUUUUUAUAA